CGGGGUGCAGCAGGCGCGAAAACCUUACAAUGCCGGCAACGGCGAUAAGGGAACCUCGAGUGCCAGGUUACAAAUCUGGCUGUCGUGAUGCCUAAAAAGCAUUGCAUAGCAAGGGCCGGGCAAGACCGGUGCCAGCCGCCGCGGUAACACCGGCGGCUCGAGUGGUAACCGUUAUUAUUGGGUCUAAAGGGUCUGUAGCCGGCCGGGUAAGUCUCUUGGGAAAUCUGGCAGCUUAACUGUCAGGCUUUCAGGAGAUACUGCCUGGCUCGAGGCCGGGAGAGGUGAGAGGUACUUCAGGGGUAGGGGUGAAAUCUUGUAAUCCUUGAAGGACCACCAGUGGCGAAGGCGUCUCACCAGAACGGACCUGACGGCAAGGGACGAAAGCUAGGGGCACGAACCGGAUUAGAUACCCGGGUAGUCCUAGCCGUAAACGAUACUCGCUAGGUGUCGGCCACGGUGCGACCGUGGUCGGUGCCGUAGGGAAGCCGUGAAGCGAGCCACCUGGGAAGUACGGCCGCAAGGCUGAAACUUAAAGGAAUUGGCGGGGGAGCAC
rnacentral:rRNA from 1 species